AUUGAACGCUGGCGGCAUGCUUUACACAUGCAAGUCGAACGGCAACGCGGAGAAGCUUGCUUCUCUGUCGGCGAGUGGCGAACGGGUGAGUAUAGCAUCGGAACGUGCCAAGUAGUGGGGGAUAACCAAACGAAAGUUUGGCUAAUACCGCGUAAGCUCCAAGGAGGAAAGUAGGGGACCUAAAUAAGGCCUUACGCUAUUUGAUCGGCCGAUGUCGGAUUAGCUAGUUGGUGGGGUAAUGGCUCACCAAGGCAAUGAUCCGUAGCGGGUCUGAGAGGACGAGCCCCCCCACUUGGACUGGGACACGGCCCCGACUCCCCCGGGAGGCAGGAGUGGGGAAUUUUUGGCAAUGGGGGGAAACCUGAUCCAGCCCUUCCCCGUGGGUGAAGAAGGCCUUUGGGUUUUAAAGCCCUUUUUUUGGGGAAGAAAAGCCUUAUUUUUAAAAAAAGUUGUUGUGACGGUACCCUAAAAAAAAGCCCCCGCCAACUUCGUG
rnacentral:rRNA from 1 species